CCUUGUGAAUAGAAGAUUGAUGUUCCCAUUUUAGAGAUGAGAAAAGUGAGACUCAGCAUUUUCAUAACAUGUCUAACUUUCUGUAUACUCACUAUAUGACUGAGAGAACGUGUCAUCUCAUUUAAUCCUCACAACAAUCUGAUGAGAGAUGAGGUCUCGCUAUGUUGCCCAGUCUUGUCUCCAACUCCUGGCCUCAAGUGAUCCUCGACCUUCCAAAGGGAUGGAUUUACAGGCAUGAGCCACUGUGCCCAAAUUGAACCCACAUUGCUUACUUCAAAGCCUAAUGACCAAUUUCAUGAAGGAGGUCUGCUGCACUCACAAGCCAGGUUAUGUCAGCUGGACUAUGUGGUGCCUUUUGUACCUGUCUGCAUCCUGCCAUCUGUUUGCCAUCUGCAGAGGGCUCAACUUGCAGUCCCAAAGGAAAGCACUUCUCUCUCCUGCUGCCAUGUGAAGAAGGAUGUGUUUGCUUCACCUUCCACCAUGAUUGCGAGUUUCCUGAGGCCUCCUCAGCCACACGGAAAUGAAAUACACAGCAAUGUAAGCAGAGAGAUGAAAGAAGGUGAUAACAGUUGAAGAGACAAAGAG
rnacentral:lncRNA from 1 species